GAGUAGCUGGGACUACAGUCACGUACCACCAGUUGAAAAAGAUCAUCUAGCAAAGCCUUUUUUCCCAGCUACAUAUAAGGAAUUUGAAAGUCGCAUAAAAUGGUUAAGAAAAUGUGCCAAGAUUACCUCAGUAAUUCUGGUCUGUGUUCUCAGGAGACCCUGGAAAUAAACAAUGUGUCUUCUGUGGCUUCAGCGUCACCUAGUGCAGGCUGCCAUUCAACAAACGCAUUGUCAACAGUCAACCAAAAGAAACCCAUUGGCCACCAUACCCUGAGGACUAACCCUGACACAGAUGCCCUUCCAGAUGCCCUCAGUAGUCUAACUGAUUCCAUCGCCCCAGCCUUGGGGGAGAAGCACUGCUGCCUAUGCACUCCAUUUACAGGUGAACUGUCACCCCUACAACUCAGCUUGCAACCAGCCCUGGCCACCACCAGUUUCCCCACACUGAGCUGAAUAUUGGACAUGCCCAUCUUAGACAUUCCAGCCCAUUCUGAAAUUCCACAUCGAUUCACCCGACAAAGUCUGAAGUUCCAGGGCAAUUUAUCUGGAAAAGCUCACCUGGAAUCAUGUGUCAUUUCAACCAACAACUGUCGAAGAGGACGUGGCAUCAAAACCAAGGAAAGCAACUAGAAGCCAUUUGUGUCAAGGUAACGUCUGGAGAAACAAAAGGUCAGGAACGGCCAACGUCCCUACUGGCCACAGUCUAGCCCCAAUCUGCAAGACAGAGCCAGCCGCCCCGGGGGAAUUCCCGCCUGGUGGGACUCCACGUCACCAGCCCCCAGCUGCUCAGGGUACAGCCCCUCGUGAGAACCGAGCCACAGUCAUGUUUCCUACAUCAGCCUCCUGCUCAGGGGUUUGUACAGAGACCACUGCCAGCCCUCUAGGUGGUCCCUGCAAAGAAAGUCCCAGCUCCCAAGGCUCCAAAUGGACAGGGCACCAUGUUGACCCCUUCGUUGGCCUCCAGUUCGCCGACUGUAACAUGUUUCAUCCAGUUCAGGACGUUUAUUUAUUUCCAACUUGCAUACAAAACAUACUGAGAAACUAAAACCAUCGUUAAAAGUGAAGACACGUUGAGACAGGUAUCUCGACCUGCCAAGUAUACAGCUAAAGCUGAGUUCAUAAAAAGGGAUGAUUUGGCCGACGGUCAUCUGCCAGAUUCUGAUGAUGAUUCAGAAGUCAGUGUGGAAGAAGAUCAGAGGGAGAGGCAGGCGCUCUUUGACUUAUCAAGCUGCUCCCUGAGGCCCAAAAGCUUCAAGUGUCAGACUUGUAAAAAGUCAUAUAUAGGGAAGUGGGGACUGGCCCAGCAUUUUAAACUUAAUCCAGGCCAUGGCCAGCUGGACCCUGAGAUGGUGCUAUCUGAGAAAGCCAAUGGGAGCACCCUCCGGGGGUGCACAGAGGAAAGGACGCUCAGCCUGACCUUCCCGAGGCUGUCCGUGCCAGCGGCUCCGCGUGAGGGAGGGGCCCGCUCCUGCUUGGUGAGAGAGUCAGCACGCGGUGGCCUGGGUGAACUGUCACCCCUACAACUCAGCUUGCAACCAGCCCUGGCCACCACCAGUUUCCCCACACUGAGCUGAAUAUUGGACAUGCCCAUCUUAGACAUUCCAGCCCAUUCUGAAAUUCCACAUCGAUUCACCCGACAAAGUCUGAAGUUCCAGGGCAAUUUAUCUGGAAAAGCUCACCUGGAAUCAUGUGUCAUUUCAACCAACAACUGUUGAAGAGGACGUGGCAUCAAAACCAAGGAAAGCAACUAGAAGCCAUUUGUGUCAAGGUAACGUCUGGAGAAACAAAAGGUCAGGAAUGGCCAACGUCCCUACUGGCCACAGUCCAGCCCCAAUCUGCAAGACAGAGCCAGCCGCCCCGGGGGAAUUCCCGCCUGGUGGGACUCCACGUCACCAGCCCCCAGCUGCUCAGGGUACAGCCCCUCGUGAGAACCGAGCCACAGUCAUGUUUCCUACAUCAGCCUCCUGCUCAGGGGUUUGUACAGAGACCACUGCCAGCCCUCUAGGUGGUCCCUGCAAAGAGAGUCCCAGCCCCCAAGGCUCCAAAUGGACAGGGCACCAUGUUGACCCCUUCGUCGGCCUCCAGUUUGCCGACUGUAACAUGUUUCAUCCAGUUCAGGACGUUUAUUUAUUUCCAACUUGCAUACAAAACAUACUGAGAAACUAAAACCAUCGUUAAAAGUGAAGACACGUUGAGACAGGUAUCUCGACCUGCCAAGUAUAAAGCUAAAGCUGAGUUCAUAAAAAGGGAUGAUUUGGCCGACGGUCAUCUGCCAGAUUCUGAUGAUGAUUCAGAAGUCAGUGUGGAAGAAGAUCAGAGGGAGAGGCAGGCGCUCUUUGACUUAUCAAGCUGCUCCCUGAGGCCCAAAAGCUUCAAGUGUCAGACUUGUAAAAAGUCAUAUAUAGGGAAGUGGGGACUGGCCCAGCAUUUUAAACUUAAUCCAGGCCAUGGCCAGCUGGACCCUGAGAUGGUGCUAUCUGAGAAAGCCAAUGGGAGCACCCUCCGGGGGUGCACAGAGGAAAGGACGCUCAGCCUGACCUUCCCGGGGCUGUCCGUGCCAGCGGCUCCGCGUGAGGGAGGGGCCCGCUCCUGCUUGGUGAGAGAGUCAGCACGCGGUGGCCUGCAGUCUCACUCUGUGGCCCAGGCUGGAGUACAGUGGCGCAGUCUGAGUUCACUACAGCCUCCACCUCCCAGGUUCAAGAGAUUCUCCUGCCUCAACCUCCCGAGUAGCUGGGACUACAGUCACGUACCACCAGUUGAAAAAGAUCAUCUAGCAAAGCCUUUUUUCCCAGCUACAUAUAAGGAAUUUGAAAGUCACAUAAAAUGGUUAAGAAAAUGUGCCAAGAUUACCUCAGUAAUUCUGGUCUGUGUUCUCAGGAGACCCUGGAAAUAAACAAUGUGUCUUCUGUGGCUUCAGCGUCACCUAGUGCAGGCUGCCAUUCAACAAACGCAUUGUCAACAGUCAACCAAAAGAAACCCAUUGGCCACCAUACCCUGAGGACUAACCCUGACACAGAUGCCCUUCCAGAUGCCCUCAAUAGUCUAACUGAUUCCAUCGCCCCAGCCUUGGGGGAGAAGCACUGCUGCCUAUGCACUCCAUUUACAGGCUAAAAUCACACUCGAUGUUUUUAUGGGAUCAUUUGAUCUGGACAUUGUCAAAGAAAAAAUUGCACCAGACAAGUUAAACCUUCAAGGAAGGACUCAGUCAGGACUACUGCAAUACGGAAGAGAGGAGCUUAACUUCAUUGAAACAAAAGGCUGGGGAGUUUUUAAGUGCCGGGGUGAGAUGCUGAGAAGGAACUGGAGACAUCAGGAAGAGAAAAACGUUGACCUCUUGGCGAGAAUGCAAAGAAGGGAACGCUUGCUUAUACGCUGUUGGUGAACUGUCACCCCUACAACUCAGCUUGCAACCAGCCCUGGCCACCAGUUUCCCCACACUGAGCUGAAUAUCGGACAUGCCCAUCUCAGACAUUCCAGCCCAUUCUGAAAUUCCACAUCGAUUCACCUGACAAAGUCUGAAGUUCCAGGGCAAUUUAUCUGGAAAAGCUUACCUGGAAUCACGUGUCAUUUCAACCAACAACUGUUGAAGAGGACGUGGCAUUAAAACCAAGGGUAUCAAUUAUUUAUAA
rnacentral:lncRNA from 1 species